rnacentral:rRNA from 1 species
UGCAAGUAGAACGCUGAAGCUUGGUGCUUGCACCGAGCGGAUGAGUUGCGAACGGGUGAGUAACGCGUAGGUAACCUGCCUGGUAGCGGGGGAUAACUAUUGGAAACGAUAGCUAAUACCGCAUAACAACAGUUGUUGCAUGACAGCUGUUUGAAAGGGGCAAUUGCUCCACUACCAGAUGGACCUGCGUUGUAUUAGCUAGUUGGUGAGGUAACGGCUCACCAAGGCGACGAUACAUAGCCGACCUGAGAGGGUGAUCGGCCACACUGGGACUGAGACACGGCCCAGACUCCUACGGGAGGCAGCAGUAGGGAAUCUUCGGCAAUGGGGGGAACCCUGACCGAGCAACGCCGCGUGAGUGAAGAAGGUUUUCGGAUCGUAAAGCUCUGUUGUAAGAGAAGAACGAGUGUGAGAGUGGAAAGUUCACACUGUGACGGUAUCUUACCAGAAAGGGACGGCUAACUACGUGCCAGCAGCCGCGGUAAUACGUAGGUCCCGAGCGUUAUCCGGAUUUAUUGGGCGUAAAGCGAGCGCAGGCGGUUAGAUAAGUCUGAAGUUAAAGGCUGUGGCUUAACCAUAGUACGCUUUGGAAACUGUUUAACUUGAGUGCAGAAGGGGAGAGUGGAAUUCCAUGUGUAGCGGUGAAAUGCGUAGAUAUAUGGAGGAACACCGGUGGCGAAAGCGGCUCUCUGGUCUGUAA